CUGGUUGAUCCCGCCGGAGACUACUGCUAUCAGAUUUCGAUUAAACCAUGCGAGGCAUUGGUUAUUUCCAGCAAUGGAGAUGGCCAAGCCAUACUGCUGAGUAACACGUAGCUAAUCUGCCCUAGGGACAGAAAUAACCUCGGGAAACUGAGAAUAAUUUCUGAUGAAUGAUAAUGGCUGGAAGGCCUCUUCAUUUAAAGGCCCGCAAGGGCGCCUUAGGAUGAGGCUGCGGCGGAUUAGGUUGUUGUCUGGGUAAUGACCAGACAAGCCAAUAAUCCGUAGGGGUUGUGAGAGCAAUAGCCUCCAGAUGGAUUCUGAGACAUGAAUCCAGGCCUUAUGGGGCGCAGCAGGUGCGAAACCUUCACAAUGCCUGAAAGGGUGAUGAGGGGAAUCUGAGUGAUUUCACAUUUGUGGAAAUCUUUGCCGAGUUUAGAUAGCUCGGAGAAUAAGGGGUGGGCAAGACGGUUGCCAGCCGCCGCGGUAAUAACCGCGCCCCUAGUGGUAGUCACGUUUAUUGGGUCUAAAGCAUCCGUAGCUGGUUCAGUAAGUCUUCAGUGAAAUCUCAUAGUAAACUAUGAGGCUUGCUGAAGAUACUGCUAGACUUGGGGAUGGGAGAGGUCAGGGGUACUUUUAGGGUAAGGGUAAAAUCUGUUAAUCCUAAAGGGACCACCUGUGGCGAAAGGCCCUGACCAUAACAUACCUGACAGUGGAGGGAUAAAGCUGGGGGAGCGAUCGGGGAUAGAAACCCCGGUAGUCCCAGCUGUAAACGAUGCUCACUUGGUGUUGCAAAACUCUAGAGGUUUUGCAGUGCCGAAGCGAAGGCGUUAAGUGAGCCACCUGGGGAGUACGACCGCAAGGUUGAAACUUAAAGGAAUUGGCGGGGGAGCACUACAAGGGGUGGAUGCUGCGGUUUAAUUGGAUACAACCCCAGAAAUCUUACCAUAGAAGACAGCAGGAUGAGGGUCACUCUAAAGGGGUUACCUGACAAGCUGAGAGAUGCUACAUGGCCGUCGUCAGUUCGUGUCGUGAGAUGUCUUGUUAAGUCAAGAAACGAACGAGACCCAUACUUUUAGUUGCUAUCGUGAUUUACGAAUCACGAGCACUCUAACGGGACUGCCCGCGUUUGAAGUGGGAGGAAGGAGUGGGCGACGGCAGGUCAGCACGGCUCGAAAUCUAUUGGGUUACACGCGGCAUACAAUGCGCAGGACAACGGGUCGCAAUCGCGUAAGCGAAAGCCAAUCUCUUAAACCUGUGCUCAGUUCGGAUCGUGGGCUGAAACUCGCCCACGUGAAGUCGGAAUCCCUAGUAAGCGGAGGUCAUCAUCUUUCGCUGAAUACGUCCCUGCUCCUUGCACACAC
rnacentral:rRNA from 1 species